AGAAGAGAGAAUGCCGGAAUGAGUAGCGAGAUGGAGGUGGGAAUCCUCCAGGCCGAAUAUCCAAGGUUUCCAGAGUAAAGCUGAUCUGCUCUGGGUAAGUCGGGGCCUAAGGCGAGGCUGAGAGGCGUAGUCGAUGGACAACAGGUUGAAAUUCCUGUACCAUGUAUCAUCAGAACUGUGGGGACACAGAAGGACAACACAUCCCGGGAAUGGGAAUACCGGGGCAAGCGAGGUAGGAGUACGGUUGGCAAAUCCGCCGUGCAAUCCGAAGACGUGACGCGCAGCGAACUAAAGUAGCGAAGUGUGUGAUUCCGGCUGUCAAGAAAAGCCGCUAUUGUGUGAUACAUGCCCGUACCGUAAACCGACACAGGUAGAUGAGGAGAGAAUCCUAAGGCCGGCGGGAGAAGCAUUGUUAAGGAACUCGGCAAAAUGACCCCGUAACUUCGGGAGAAGGGGUGCCACAGAGAUGUGGCCGCAGAGAAUAGGCUCAAGCAACUGUUUAGCAAAAACACAGGUCUAUGCAAAACCGUAAGGUGAGGUAUAUGGGCUGACGCCUGCCCGGUGCUGGAAGGUUAAGAGGAGAGGUUAGAGCAAUCGAAGCUUUGAAUUUAAGCCCCAGUAAACGGCGGCCGUAACUAUAACGGUCCUAAGGUAGCGAAAUUCCUUGUCGGGUAAGUUCCGACCCGCACGAAAGGCGUAAUGAUUUGAGCGCUGUCUCAACAAUGCACCCGGUGAAAUUGAAAUACCAGUGAAGAUGCUGGUUACCUGCGCCAGGACGGAAAGACCCCAUGGAGCUUUACUCCAGUUUGAUACUGGGAUUCGGUAUUGCAUGUACAGGAUAGGUGGGAGGCUGAGAAACAUGGACGCCAGUCUGUGUGGAGCCAAUGUUGGGAUACCACCCUUGCGAUAUUGGGUUUCUAACCUGCGCCCGUGACCCGGGCGGGGGACAAUGUCAGGCGGGGAGUUUGACUGGGGCGGUCGCCUCCGAAAGGGUAUCGGAGGCGCUCAAAGGUUCCCUCAGGAUGGUUGGAAACCAUCCAAAGAGUGCAAAGGCAUAAGGGAGCUUGACUGCGACACCGACGGGUGGAGCAGGUACGAAAGUAGGACUUAGUGAUCCGGUGGUAUGAAAGUGGGAUUGCCAUCGCUCAACGGAUAAAAGCUACCCUGGGGAUAACAGGCUUAUCACUCCCAAGAGUUCACAUCGACGGAGUGGUUUGGCACCUCGAUGUCGGCUCAUCGCAUCCUGGGGCUGUAGCAGGUCCCAAGGGUUGGGCUGUUCGCCCAUUAAAGCGGUACGCGAGCUGGGUUCAGAACGUCGUGAGACAGUUCGGUCCCUAUCCGGCGCGGGCGUAGGAUAUCUGAGAGGAGCUGUCCUUAGUACGAGAGGACCGGGAUGGACAGACCGCUGGUGUACCUGUUGGCUUACCAAGGCCAUGGCAGGGUAGCCAAGUCUGGACGGGAUAAACGCUGAAGGCAUCUAAGCGUGAAGCCCCCCUCAAGAUGAGAUAUCCCAUCGCGAAAGCGAGUAAGACCCCUUGAAGACGACGAGGUAGAUAGGUUAGAGGUGGAAGUGCAGUAAUGUAUGGAGCUGACUAAUACUAAUCGGUCGAGGGCUUAUCCAA
rnacentral:rRNA from 1 species